GUGGGGAAUGCCUGGGCACACGGAGGCGAGGAAGGCCGUGGUAAGCUGCGAUAAGCUCGGGGGAGCGGCACACACGCAUUGAUCCCGAGAUGGCCGAAUGGGGAAACCCGUCAGGACGCGAGUCCUGUCACUCGUUUUCGAACGAGAGCAAACCGAGGGAACUGAAACAUCUAAGUACCUCGAGGAAGAGAAAUCAACCGAGAUGCCCUUAGUAGCGGCGAGCGAAAGGGGC
rnacentral:misc_RNA from 1 species